CCUUUGGCUCUUUUCAGGGCCACCAAAUAUGCGUAAGAAAGUUAAC
rfam:Aedes aegypti strain Liverpool supercont1.3 genomic scaffold, whole genome shotgun sequence.